AGCCAUACCGCGUGGGUGAAGAAGGCCUUCGGGUUGUAAAGCCCUUUUGUUGGGAAAGAAAUCCAGCCGGUUAAUACCUGGUUGGGAUGACGGUACCCAAAGAAUAAGCACCGGCUAACUUCGUGCCAGCAGCCGCGGUAAUACGAAGGGUGCAAGCGUUACUCGGAAUUACUGGGCGUAAAGCGUGCGUAGGUGGUCGUUUAAGUCCGUUGUGAAAGCCCUGGGCUCAACCUGGGAACUGCAGUGGAUACUGGGCGACUAGAGUGUGGUAGAGGGUAGCGGAAUUCCUGGUGUAGCAGUGAAAUGCGUAGAGAUCAGGAGGAACAUCCAUGGCGAAGGCAGCUACCUGGACCAACACUGACACUGAGGCACGAAAGCGUGGGGAGCAAACAGGAUUAGAUACCCUGGUAGUCCACGCCCUAAACGAUGCGAACUGGAUGUUGGGUGCAAUUUGGCACGCAGUAUCGAAGCUAACGCGUUAAGUUCGCCGCCUGGGGAGUACGGUCGCAAGACUGAAACUCAAAGGAAUUGACGGGGGCCCGCACAAGCGGUGGAGUAUGUGGUUUAAUUCGAUGCAACGCGAAGAACCUUACCUGGCCUUGACAUGUUGAGAACUUUCCAGAGAUGGAUUGGUGCCUUCGGGAACUCGAACACAGGUGCUGCAUGGCU
rnacentral:rRNA from 1 species